UACGGAGGGUGCGAGCGUUGUUCGGAAUCACUGGGCGUAAAGCGCGUGUAGGCGGCCUGCUAAGUCUGAUGUGAAAGCCCGGGGCUCACCCCCGGAAGUGCAUUGGAAACUAGCGGGCUGGAGUCCCGGAGAGGAGGGUGGAAUUCCUGGUGUAGCGGUGAAAUGCGUAGAUAUCAGGAGGAACACCGGUGGCGAAGGCGGCCCUCUGGACGGUGACUGACGCUGAGACGCGAAAGCGUGGGGAGCAAACAGG
rnacentral:rRNA from 1 species